rnacentral:rRNA from 1 species
AGCCUUUAGCCAAACAAGUAUUAAAGGUCCUGCCUGCCCAGUGAUUUUUUCAACGGCCGCGGUAUUCUAACCGUGCAAAGGUAGCGUAAUCACUUGUCUUUUAAAUAAAGACCUGUAUGAACGGCUAAAUGAGGAUAAACCUGUCUCAUAUAACUAAUCAGUGAAACUGAUCUUCCAGUACAAAAGCUGGAAUAACCACAUAAGACGAGAAGACCCUGUGGAGCUUAAAACAACCACUAAACAACCACCCAAUUGACUUAGUGCUCGUUUUCAGUUGGGGCGACUUCGGAAUAAAAAACAACUUCCGAGCACAGAGCCACAACCUCUUACCGAGGCCAACAAGCCAAAGCAUUAAAACCGACCCGGCCUAGCCGAUCAACGAACCAAGUUACCCCAGGGAUAACAGCGCAAUCUUCUUCGAGAGCCCCUAUCAACAAGAAGGUUUACGACCUCGAUGUUGGAUCAGGACACCCAAAUGGUGCAGCCGCUAUUAACGGUUCGUUUGUUCAACGAUUAACAGUCCUACGUGAU